rnacentral:ribozyme from 12 species
UUUCUGUGUUUUUCUUGUUUUUCUGGUUUUUCCCUGUUUUUUUGUCUUUUUGUUGUCUCGUUUUGAUCCCUCCUGCUUGGAUUCGUUUCGGGUGCAUGGUUUGCUGUGGUUGUUUUUUUGAAAACAAGAAGAAAA